CCUACGGGUUGCACCAGUGGGGAAUAUUGCACAAUGGGCGCAAGCCUGAUGCAGCCAUGCCGCGUGUAUGAAGAAGGCCUUCGGGUUGUAAAGUACUUUCAGCGGGGAGGAAGGUGUUGAGGUUAAUAACCUCAGCAAUUGACGUACCCGCAGAAGAAGCACCGGCUAACUCCGUGCCAGCAGCCGCGGUAAUACGGAGGGUGCAAGCGUUAAUCGGAAUUACUGGGCGUAAAGCGCACGCAGGCGGUCUGUCAAGUCGGAUGUGAAAUCCCCGGGCUCAACCUGGGAACUGCAUUCGAAACUGGCAGGCUAGAGUCUUGUAGAGGGGGGUAGAAUUCCAGGUGUAGCGGUGAAAUGCGUAGAGAUCUGGAGGAAUACCGGUGGCGAAGGCAGCCCCCUGGACAAAGACUGACGCUCAGGUGCGAAAGCGUGGGGAGCAAACAGGAUUAGAUACCCGAGUAGUC
rnacentral:rRNA from 1 species